rnacentral:lncRNA from 10 species
GAGAUGCGCCGGGCGGGCGGUGCCCACUGACCUCCCUCGGCGGCCCGGCCCGGGCAGCGCCCGAGCCCAGGCAGCCCCGCCCGCCGCGCCCCGCCCAGCCCAUGGGCCACGGGCCCCCACCGCCGCCCGCCGGGAGGACCGAGCCUAAGAGGGCAGCCGCCUGAAGGAACGCGACGGCGGCGCCCGCAGGUGAGGCGGGGCCCGGGGUGUGUCGAGUCCGGCCCCGCUCACCUGGCAGCGCCGGCGGGGGCGGAGGGGCCGGGCAGGGGCGGAGGGGCCGGGCAGGGACGGGAGUUCGUGGCGAAGACUUUAAAAACCCUCCCCGCCGGGAGACGGGGGACGGGGUCCUCCUGCCCCACCUCCGGGGCUUGGGAGCCACGUUAGCUCCCCCAGGGGCAGGGGUGGCCCCGGGCGAAGGCAACUCGGGAGACGGCGGAGUCGGGGAAAGAGGGUCCCUGAGGCUCGGCGACCCCCGCGCCCGCCCCCGCGGGGUCUGCCGGCCCUUUCUGGGGAGGGGGCUCCCCGGCCCGGGCUCCAGUCCAGGGUGCGGACCGGCCGCGGCGCGCGCCCACCCCAGUGCCAAGGGGGAGGAGAGGCCGGUCCCGGGGCGCUCCUGUCUGCCCCGGGGUGGGAUCGCAGGGCGAGGGAUCCGCAUUGCAGGUGCACCAGGAGCGCCCCGGGGCCUAGCCCGGCUUUGUCUGGGAUGCUGUGGGGAGGAGGCCGUCUGAAUCCACAUCGCCUUUUUAAAUGCUUGUUACCACCCGGGGAACCUUAGAGACCCUCCCUGACAAGUUGUAUCGCCUCCCGUCCUGGUAGCCUUUCCGUAAGUACACUACCUUGCCAGCCCCUUCCUGAAGCUUUGAUGCGGCUUUAGUUUACUCUGAGUAACGAUUUGCCUGUGAUUCGUGAAACGGAGCAGAAUGCACAAACGCAGCAGAGCUCCAGGCUUGGCUACUGGGCUGCCGUCUGCUACGGCGAGUGAGUUUCUCUAACUUAGGUUUUCAUGCUGACCUGUAUUGUUUCAUUUCAAGUUUUGGUAUUUAGCAGUACGAUCUAGUCCACUAAGGAAAAUUAGGCUGCCAGAGAGAAAAUAUAACCGCGCUCUGUAGCUUAGGUUGCAGUAGUCGGUUUUAUAACAAAAUGCAAGCUACCACGCUGUAAUACUUUAACAUAUUACGCAGUUCCAGAAACCUGUAAGAGUAUUAAAACUAGGAUUGCCAUUUUAAAACUUUUACGUUUGAAAUUUAUUUAAAGAGCAUUG